rnacentral:tRNA from 1 species
GCCCGGAUGGUGUAGGGGCCCAUCAUACAACCCUGUCACGGUUGUGACGCGGGUUCAAAUCCCGCUCCGGGCG